rnacentral:rRNA from 1 species
CCUUACUGGCCUUGACAUACUAAGAACUUUCCAGAGAUGGAUUGGUGCCUUCGGGAACUUAGAUACAGGUGCUGCAUGGCUGUCGUCAGCUCGUGUCGUGAGAUUGUUGGGUUAAGUCCCGCAACGAGCGCAACCCUUUUCCUUAUUUGCCAGCGGGUUAAGCCGGGAACUUUAAGGAUACUGCCAGUGACAAACUGGAGGAAGGCGGGGACGACGUCAAGUCAUCAUGGCCCUUACGGCCAGGGCUACACACGUGCUACAAUGGUCGGUACAAAGGGUUGCUACCUCGCGAGAGGAUGCUAAUCUCAAAAAGCCGAUCGUAGUCCGGAUCGCAGUCUGCAACUCGACUGCGUGAAGUCGGAAUCGCUAGUAAUCGCGGAUCAGAAUGCCGCGGUGAAUACGUUCCCGGGCCUUGUACACACCGCCCGUCACACCAUGGGAGUUUGUUGCACCAGAAGUAGGUAGUCUAACCGCAAGGAGGACGCUUACCACGGUGUGGCCGAUGACUGGGGUGAAGUCGUAACAAGGUAAGCGUAGAUGA